AUUGAACGCUGACGGCAGGCCUAACACAUGCAAGUCGAGCGGAUGAAGAGAGCUUGCUCUCUGAUUCAGCGGCGGACGGGUGAGUAAUGCCUAGGAAUCUGCCUGGUAGUGGGGGACCACGUUUCGAAAGGAACGCUAAUACCGCAUACGUCCUACGGGAGAAAGUGGGGGAUCUUCGGACCUCACGCUAUCAGAUGAGCCUAGGUACGAUUAGCUAGUUGGUGAGGUAAAGGCUCACCAAGGCGACGAUCGUUAACUGGUCUGAGAGGAUGAUCAGUCACACUGGAACUGAGACACGGUCCAGACUCCUACGGGAGGCAGCAGUGGGGAAUAUUGGACAAUGGGCGAAAGCCUGAUCCAGCCAUGCCGCGUGUGUGAAGAAGGUCUUCGGAUUGUAAAGCACUUUAAGUUGGGAGGAAGGGCAGUAAGUUAAUACCUUGCCGUUUUGACGUUACCGACAGAAUAAGCACCGGCUAACUUCGUGCCAGCCGCCGCAGUAAUAC
rnacentral:rRNA from 1 species